CGGUAAUACAAUUAACCGACACGUUGAAAUUCCCACUGUUUACUUACAACUUAAAACAACACGUAAAUGUCCUACUAAUAACAACGAUACUAUGACUAAUACUAACUUCCAAAUAAUACUUCCUUCAACAUCCGCAACACAACAAUCCAACCAUUCCAAUGACGCCAUCCCUAGCAGCGGAAUUCAUUCAACCAUGACAACGCAUUGUUCAACCAGCAAUGAGAUCAGAUCAACCGAGGAACAGCCAAGUAGACGGUCUCAACGUAUACAGGAACGUAGCAAC